AUGCAAUUAGUAAAGGGAAAGGCCAAUUUCAAGGCCCAAGGCCCAUUAAGGAAAAAAAAACUAAUUCUUCUUCAAUUUACAGGGACUAGAACACACUUCAAUCUUCUAUUCUCUCUCUGUAACUUUUUUCUUCUUUCUAAAACAACACAGACCACUUCCUAUCUUUCAAGGGCAAAUAACCAGUACCAUCAAACCCACAUAGAAACAGAGAAUAAGCAAAAUCCAACGGCACCGUCGGUUAUUGCCUUGUGGUGGUUUGGUAUAGCGGAGAUCUGGUUGUAG